AUGUUUUACUAUUUUAAAGGUGAGCUUAUUGGAGUGGAAUAUCUUUACCAGCAAACUGGUAAAGUUCUGCAGGACUACAAGUUGGCCAUUGAAGAGUCAGAGACUACUGAGGUUGGUAUAGAGGUGGAUGAAGGUUAUGCUGAACUUGAGGAGUUUCAGGACAUCACUGUCCCCACCUUUGACACUGACCGGACACCUGCUGCCUCUUCACAAGCAUCAGUGUCUGCAGCAUCUGCAGCAUCAUUUCCAACUCCUCCAGCAACCAGCCCCACGUCAUCACUGUUUGUGGUCCCUCCAUCAUCAGUGUCAUCUCCUGUCAGCAGCUCACUGCACGCUGAAUCAAAUCUAGAACUCUUUCCUGGAGCACAUAGCUUGGACCGAUUAUCUGCAGAAACGGAUCGUCCAACAUUGGAAGAGAACACUUCACAUGAUGAUUCGGUUGGACCUGAUAAUAUUGAGGGGUAUGGAGCCGUGCAGGACUUGGCAGAGUUUUUGGUUAGCCUCAGAGACCACCGUCUGGCUUUGUCAGGAGAAGAGUGCAUCAAGAUCAUCUCCCUAUGGCAGGCAUUGGGGGAGUAUGACAAGAAAAAGACCAUUUACCCACCACGUCACCAAACCCACCUAAAACAGGGACGAUUCAGGGCCACUAAGAAGAUUGUGGCCCCAGGUGUUGAGAGCACCAAAAGGUAUGUUAUAUUUAGUAAAUACAGGGUUUACAAUUUUUUUGGUAAAAUAUAUAUAUCUGAAACUGGCUGAAAUAUCACCUACAACAUUUUUUGUUUAGUAACCUGACACCUUCAUGACUAGCUUAUCUUGGUUAUAACAUAAAUUAUUAGUUGUGAUUUACAUUUAAUUCUGACUAUAUAUAUUAGGUUGCUAAGUAUGUUACAUUGCUAUGGACACAGUUCCAACCGCACAUUGGAAUAAUUAAUUUAGCAGAAACAAAGCAAUCAUUUCUUAAAUAAGUAAAAUCAUUUUGUAUCAUUAUG
rnacentral:lncRNA from 1 species